rnacentral:rRNA from 1 species
UACGUAGGGUGCAAGCGUUAAUCGGAAUUACUGGGCGUAAAGCGUGCGCAGGCGGUUUUUUAAGUCUGCCGUGAAAUCCCCGGGCUCAACUUGGGAAUUGCGUUGGAGACUGCAAGGCUGGAGUCUGGCAGAGGGGGGUAGAAUUCCACGUGUAGCAGUGAAAUGCGUAGAGAUGUGGAGGAACACCGAUGGCGAAGGCAGCCCCCUGGGUCAAGACUGACGCUCAUGCACGAAAGCGUGGGGAGCAAACAGG